GGUGGCUCAGUGGUAGGGCGCUUGCCUUGCAUGCAUGAAGCCCUGGGUUCGAUUCCUCAGCACCA
rnacentral:tRNA from 1 species